rnacentral:rRNA from 1 species
AAGUCGUAACAAGGUUUCCGUAGGUGAACCUGCGGAAGGAUCAUUACUGCUUGCUUUUGACGUCUGUCCGGGAAACCAGACAGGCGCCAGGCAUGCUACCCUUGUCUAUUUAUACCACUUGUUACCUCCAUCGGUAGGGCAACCUACCGAUGGGCAUAACCAAACCCUUGUAUUAUAGUAUUUAACUCUGAACAAACAAUAAAUUACAACUUUUAACAAUGGAUCUCUUGGUUCUGGCAUCGAUGAAGAACGCAGCGAAAUGCGAGAAGUAGUGUGAAUUGCAGACUUUAGUGAAUCAUCGAAUCUUUGAACGCACAUUGCGCCCUUUGGUAUUCCACUGGGCAUGCCUGUUCGAGCGUCAUUUACACCUUCAAGCUUUGCUUGGUGUUGGAUGUUUGUCUGUGCCUAGCAGACUCGUCCUAAAUACAUUGGCAGCGGCUUCUACAGCUCCUUGCGCAGCACAAUGCGCUAUAGGGUGUUUGUAGUAGGUUUGCAUCCAUUAAGAACUUCUUGUUUUGACCUCGAAUCAGGUAGGGAUACCCGCUGAACUUAA